UGGACCUACGGGACGCAGCAGUGGGGAAUAUUGGGCAAUGGGCGCAAGCCUGACCCAGCAACGCCGCGUGAAGGAAGAAGGCUUUCGGGUUGUAAACUUCUUUUGACAGGGAAGAGUAGAAGACGGUACCUGACUAAGAAGCCCCGGCUAACUACGUGCCAGCAGCCGCGGUAAUACGUAGGGGGCAAGCGUUAUCCGGAUUUACUGGGUGUAAAGGGAGCGUAGACGGCAGUGCAAGUCUGAAGUGAAAGGCAAGGGCUCAACCCUUGGACUGCUUUGGAAACUGUGCUGCUCGAGUGUCGGAG
rnacentral:rRNA from 1 species